CCUACGGGUGGCAGCAGUGGGGAAUAUUGGGCAAUGGGCGCAAGCUUGACCCAGCAACGCCGCGUGAAGGAAGAAGGCUUUCGGGUUGUCAACUUCUUUUGUCAGGGACGAAGCAAGUGACGGUACCUGACGAAUAAGCCACGGGUAAACACGUGACAGCCGCCGGGGUAAUACGUAGGUGGCAAGCGUUAUCCGGAUAUGCGGGGGGUAAAGGGCGGGGAAGCGGGACAGGAAGUCAGAUGUGAAAACCACGGGCUCAACCUGUGCCCUGCCUUUGAAUCUGUAGUUCUUGAGUACUGGAGAGGCAGACGGAAUUCCUAGUGUAGCUGUGAAAUGCGUAGAUAUUAGGAGGAACACCAGUGGCGAAGGCGGUCUGCUGGACAGCAACUGACGCUGAGGCGCGAAAGCGUGGGGAGCAAACAGGAUUAGAUACCCUUGUAGUC
rnacentral:rRNA from 1 species